GCCCGGAUGGUCUAGUGGUAUGAUUCUCGCUUCGGGUUGGCUAUAACAGCUCAAUAUGCGAGAGGUCCCGCGUUCGAAUCGCGGUUCGGGCC